UUUCACCGAGCCGAGCAGCAGCGGCCGAUCGGCGGCCCGCUCCCGGCCGUACGUGGCAAGCAGCGCCUGCGCCUC
rnacentral:antisense_RNA from 1 species